UUUUUUUUUUUUUUUUUUUUUUUUUUUUUU
rnacentral:ncRNA from 4 species